GGAUUAGAUACCCUGGUAGUCCACGCCGUAAACGAUGAUCACUCGUUGUCUGCGACAUAUUGUAGGCGACUGAGCGAAAGCAUUAAGUGAUCCACCUGGGGAGUACGUUGGCAACAAUGAAACUCAAAGGAAUUGACGGGGGCCCGCACAAGCGGAGGAACAUGUGGUUUAAUUCGAUGAUACGCGAGGAACCUUACCUGGGUUUAAAUGUAGAUUGCAUGAGUGGGAAACUAUUCUUUCCUUCGGGACCAUCUACAAGGUGCUGCAUGGUUGUCGUCAGCUCGUGUUG
rnacentral:rRNA from 1 species